CAGUGUACAUGUAGGUAGGGGUGAAGUGACUAUGGAUAGAUAAUAAACAGAGAGUAGCAGCAGUGUACAUGUAGGUAGGGGUGAAGUGACUAUGGAUAGAUAAUAAACAGAGAGUAGCAGCAGUGUACAUGUAGGUAGGGGUGAAGUGACUAUGGAUAGAUAAUAAACAGAGAGUAGCAGCAGUGUACAUGUAGGUAGGGGUGAAGUGACUAUAUGGAUAGAUAAUAAACAGAGAGUAGCAGCAGUGUACAUGUAGGUAGGGGUGAAGUGACUAUAUGGAUAGAUAAUAAACAGAGAGUAGCAGCAGUGUACAUGUAGGUAGGGGUGAAGUGACUAUGGAUAGAUAAUGAGUAGCAGCAGUGUACAUGUAGGUAGGGGUGAAGUGACUAUGGAUAGAUAAUAAACAGAGAGUAGCAGCAGUGUACAUGUAGGUAGGGGUGAAGUGACUAUGGAUAGAUAAUAAACAGAGAGUAGCAGCAGUGUACAUGUAGGUAGGGGUGAAGUGACUAUGGAUAGAUAAUAAACAGAGAGUAGCAUCAGUGUACAUGUAGGUAGGGGUGAAGUGACUAUGGAUAGAUAAUGAGUAGCAGCAGUGUACAUGUAGGUAGGGGUGAAGUGACUAUGGAUAGAUAAUAAACAGAGAGUAGCAGCAGUGUACAUGUAGGUAGGGGUGAAGUGACUAUAUGGAUAGAUAAUAAACAGAGAGUAGCAGCAGUGUACAUGUAGGUAGGGGUGAAGUGACUAUGGAUAGAUAAUAAACAGAGAGUAGCAGCAGUGUACAUGUAGGUAGAGGUGAAGUGACUAUGGAUAGAUAAUAAACAGAGAGUAGCAGCAGUGUACAUGUAGGUAGGGGUGAAGUGACUAUGGAUAGAUAAUAAACAGAGAGUAGCAUCAGUGUACAUGUAGGUAGGGGUGAAGUGACUAUGGAUAGAUAAUGAGUAGCAGCAGUGUACAUGUAGGUAGGGGUGAAGUGACUAUGGAUAGAUAAUAAACAGAGAGUAGCAGCAGUGUACAUGUAGGUAGGGGUGAAGUGACUAUAUGGAUAGAUAAUAAACAGAGAGUAGCAGCAGUGUACAUGUAGGUAGGGGUGAAGUGACUAUGGAUAGAUAAUAAACAGAGAGUAGCAGCAGUGUACAUGUAGGUAGGGGUGAAGUGACUAUGUAUAGAUAAUAAACAGAGAGUAGCAGCAGUGUACAUGUAGGUAGGGGUGAAGUGACUAUAUGGAUAGAUAAUAAACAGAGAGUAGCAGCAGUGUACAUGUAGGUAGGGGUGAAGUGACUAUGGAUAGAUAAUAAACAGAGAGUAGCAGCAGUGUACAUGAAGGUAGGGGUGAAGUGACUAUGGAUAGAUAAUAAACAGAGAGUAGCAGCAGUGUACAUGUAUGUAGGGGUGAAGUGACUAUGGAUAGAUAAUAAACAGAGAGUAGCAGCAGUGUACAUGUAGGUAGGGGUAAAGUGACUAUGGAUAGAUAAUGAGUAGCAGCAGUGUACAUGUAGGUAGGGGUGAAGUGACUAUGGAUAGAUAAUAAACAGAGAGUAGCAGCAGUGUACAUGAAGGUAGGGGUGAAGUGACUAUGGAUAGAUAAUAAACAGAGAGUAGCAGCAGUGUACAUGUAUGUAGGGGUGAAGUGACUAUGGAUAGAUAAUAAACAGAGAGUAGCAGCAGUGUACAUGUAGGUAGGGGUGAAGUGACUAUGCAUAGAUAAUAAACAGUGAGUAGCAGCAGUGUACAUGUAGGUAGGGGUGAAGUGACUAUAUGGAUAGAUAAUAAACAGAGAGUAGCAGCAGUGUACAUGUAGGUAGGGGUGAAGUGACUAUGGAUAGAUAAUAAACAGAGAGUAGCAGCAGUGUACAUGUAGGUAGGGGUGAAGUGACUAUGGAUAGAUAAUAAACAGAGAGUAGCAGCAGUGUACAUGUAGGUAGGGGUGAAGUGACUAUGGAUAGAUAAUAAACAGAGAGUAGCAGCAGUGUACAUGUAGGUAGGGGUGAAGUGACUAUGGAUAGAUAAUAAACAGAGAGUAGCAGCAGUGUACAUGAAGGUAGGGGUUAAGUGACUAUGGAUAGAUAAUAAACAGAGAGUAGCAGCAGUGUACAUGUAGGUAGGGGUAAAGUGACUAUGGAUAGAUAAUAAACAGAGAGUAGCAGCAGUGUACAUGUAGGUAGGGGUGAAGUGACUAUGGAUAGAUAAUGAGUAGCAGCAGUGUACAUGUAGCUAGGGGUGAAGUGACUAUGGAUAGAUAAUAAACAGUGAGUAGCAGCAGUGUACAUGAAGGUAGGGGUAAAGUGACUAUGGAUAGAUAAUGAGUAGCAGCAGUGUACAUGUAGGUAGGGGUGAAGUGACUAUGGAUAGAUAAUAAACAGAGAGUAGCAGCAGUGUACAUGUAGGUAGGGGUGAAGUGACUAUGCAUAGAUAAUAAACAGCGAGUAGCAGCAGUGUACAUGUAGGUAGGGGUGAAGUGACUAUGGAUAGAUAAUGAGUAGCAGCAGUGUACAUGUAGGUAGGGGUGAAGUGACUAUGGAUAGAUAAUAAACAGAGAGUAGCAGCAGUCUACAUGUAGGUAGGGGUGAAGUGACCAUGGAUAGAUAAUAAACAGAGAGUAGCAGCAGUGUACAUGUAGGUAGGGGUGAAGUGACUAUGGAUAGAUUAUAAACAUUGAGUAGCAGCAGUGUACAUGUAGGUAGGGGUGAAGUGACUAUGGAUAGAUAAUAAACAGAGAGUAGCAGCAGUGUACAUGUAGGUAGGGGUGAAGUGACUAUGGAUAGAUAAUAAACAGUGAGUAGCAGCAGUGUACAUGUAGGUAGGGGUGAAGUGACUAUGGAUAGAUUAUAAACAUUGAGUAGCAGCAGUGUACAUGU